UACGAAGGGAGCUAGCGUUGUUCGGAAUCACUGGGCGUAAAGCGCACGUAGGCGGAUUUGCCAGUCAGGGGUGAAAUCCCGGGGCUCAACCUCGGAACUGCCUUUGAUACAGCAAGUCUUGAGUUCGAGAGAGGUGGGUGGAAUUCCUAGUGCAGAGGUGAAAUUCGUAGAUAUUAGGAAGAACACCGGUGGCGAAGGCGGCCCACUGGCUCGACACUGACGCUGAGGUGCGAAAGCGUGGGGAGCAAACAGG
rnacentral:rRNA from 1 species